UACGGGGGAUGCAAGCGUUAUCCGGAAUUAUUGGGCGUAAAGGGUCCUGAGGUGGCUAGCCAAGUCUAUUGUGAAAUAUCAGGGCUUAACCCUGAACAUGCGGUGGAAACUAGAAAGCUUGAGUACAGUAGGGGCGGAGGGAAUUUCCGGUGGAGCGGUGAAAUGCGUAGAGAUCGGAAAGAACACCAACGCGAAAAGCACUCUGCUGGGCCGACACUGACACUGAGAGACGAAAGCUAGGGGGAGCGAAUGGG
rnacentral:rRNA from 1 species